rnacentral:piRNA from 1 species
UGGUGAUCCUUCCUGUCCCCUGCUCAGGU